rnacentral:sRNA from 1 species
AUGCAGUCAGAUGAUGUGAGUCUCCUCCAGUUGUUCUUACACCCGGGGUUUGCGCAGGGAAUUUUGCCCAUUUUCGGACACUUAGAAAACGCGUACACAGCGGGUCUGUUGCCUCGUGCCGCUCUGGAUGCGAGGCUUCCGGAACCCCGAUUUUCCAACAUAGGGUUCUCACGCGUGUCUAGCAGGGGUUUCCUGCCCGCUGCCCCGGCCGGGUUGUGAGCACAGGACUCCGUCACCUCAGCCCAUGGGGUCGAUGUGUCCCGUCCUUCGUGCCUACCAAUGCAGGACGUCGCGCCAUGCUGUCAGCUCCGGACUUGGGGUGGGGGGCGGCCCGGGAUUUGGCGAAGCUGACUCCCAAGUUUAAGCGUCCUUCUCAUCCAUGUGCGCGUUACUCUUCCAUCUGCGUUUCCUGUGUUAUCUGGGAUACACUAGGAAACAAGCAAUUUUGUUCCUUCAAAAUAAGAACCAAGACUCAGAGCUUCUGCCGAAAUGAAUAUAGCCUGACUGGACUGUGUAAUCGGUCAUCCUGUCCCCUGGCAAAUAGUC